UGGGGAAUAUUGCGCAAUGGGGGGAACCCUGACGCAGCCAUGCCGCGUGAAUGAAGAAGGCCUUCGGGUUGUAAAGUUCUUUCGGUAUUGAGGAAGGUUGAUGUGUUAAUAGUACAUCAAAUUGACGUUAAAUACAGAAGAAGCACCGGCUAACUCCGUGCCAGCAGCCGCGGUAAUACGGAGGGUGCGAGCGUUAAUCGGAAUAACUGGGCGUAAAGGGCACGCAGGCGGUUAUUUAAGUGAGGUGUGAAAGCCCUGGGCUUAACCUGGGAAUUGCAUUUCAGACUGGGUAACUAGAGUACUUUAGGGAGGGGUAGAAUUCCACGUGUAGCGGUGAAAUGCGUAGAGAUGUGGAGGAAUACCGAAGGCGAAGGCAGCCCCUUGGGAAUGUACUGACGCUCAUGUGCGAAAGCGUGGGGAGCAAACAGGAUUAGAUACCCUGGUAGUCCACGCUGUAAACGCUGUCGAUUUGGGGGUUGGGGUUUAACUCUGGCGCCCGUAGCUAACGUGAUAAAUCGACCGCCUGGGGAGUACGGCCGCAAGGUUA
rnacentral:rRNA from 1 species